GCCUGAGGCUCGAGUCGCGGCGCCUGGGGCGGUGGCCGCCGGACCAAAGCUGGCCUCUCCCGGCUCCUCCUCCUCGCUCCCCAAGGCCUUUCCCACCGCGUCAUUGUCUCGGUUUAUCUGCAGAUACGUCUACCUAGCAGUCAGCCCAGCAGCCUGGCAGUUCAGAGCUCCGCAUCCCCAGGCCUCUGAGUCACAGUUCCUGCCUUCAUGAAACUAGGAGUUGGGGCCACUGCAUUCUACUCCUUCGGGACUAUUGUUUCAUUUCUCAGUCCCUCAAACCCUUUAUUGGAUGAACAUGGGGUUAGGACAGCGGUUCUCCACUGCAACAGUUUUGCCUCCCAGGAGACAUUUGGCAAUGUAUGAAUCAUUUUCAGCCUCUCAUCUGGGGUGAGAUGUCAUUGGAAUCUACAGAUGGUGGAGGGCACAGUGCUUUUCACCUUGGCUAACUUCAAUGUUAAUGCCCCAAGAGAGAUGAUAUUGUUUCAGAGUGUUACAGAAAAAAAGAUACAGCAAGGUGUUUAGAGGUCUACUAACCCAGGACCACUUUAACGCGGUAGCUGCAGGCUUUGAGAAUCAUCAGCUGAUGUGAAUUUGGGCAGAACACCCAG
rnacentral:lncRNA from 1 species